rnacentral:rRNA from 1 species
GACGAACGCUGGCGGCGUGCUUAACACAUGCAAGUCGAACGGAAAGGCCUGCUUUCCCUUGUGGAUUGCGGGUACUCGAGUGGCGAACGGGUGAGUAACACGUGAGUGAUCUGCCCCCAACUUUGGUAUAAGCCUGGGAAACUGGGUCUAAUUCCCGAUAGGACUGCAGGGUGGUGCCUGUGGUGGAAAACGAUUUUCUAGUGGUUGGGGAUGAGCUCGCGGCCUAUCAGCUUGUUGGUGGGGUAAUGGCCUACCAAGGCGGCGACGGGUAGCCGGCCUGAGAGGGUGGACGGGCACAUUGGGACUGAGAUACGACCCAGACUCCUACGGGAGGCAGCAGUGGGGAAUAUUGGAAGAUGGGCGGAAGCCUGAUGCAGCGACGCCGCGUGGGGGAUGACGGGCUUCGGGUUGUAAGCUCCUUUCGACCGCGAGGAAGCCACCUGGUUGGAAGGGUGGUGACGGUAGUGGUAGAAGAAGCACCGGCUAACUACGUG